UACAGAGACUGCAAGCGUUAUUCGGAUUCACUGGGCGUAAAGGGUGCGCAGGCGGUUGGGUGUGUCAGAUGUGAAAUCCCGAGGCUUAACCUCGGAACUGCGUCUGAAACUACUCGACUAGAGUACUGGAGAGGGAAACGGAAUUCACGGUGUAGCAGUGAAAUGCGUAGAUAUCGUGAGGAACACCAGAGGCGAAGGCGGUUUCCUGGACAAUUGCUGACACUCAGGCACGAAAGCGUGGGGAGCCAAAGGG
rnacentral:rRNA from 1 species